AUGUGCAAGCAUUGAAUCGAAGCCCCAGUGAACGGCGGCCGUAACUAUAACGGUCCUAAGGUAGCGAAAUUCCUUGUCAGGUAAGUUCUGACCCGCAUGAAAGGCGUAAUGAUUUGGGCACUGUCUCAACAGCCCGCCCGGCGAAAUUGUAGUACCGGUGAAGAUGCCGGUUACCCGCGACAAGACGGAAAGACCCCAUGGAGCUUUACUGUAGCCUAAUAUUGGGUUUCGAUGUUGCAUGCACAGGAUAGAUGGGACACAGGGAAACAAGUGCUUUGGCAUUUGUGGAGUGGCCGUUGGGAUACCAUCCUUGCGAUAUUGGAAUUCUAACCUGCGCCUUUGAAUCAAGGCGGGGGACAUUGUUAGGUGGGCAGUUUGACUGGGGCGGUCGCCU
rnacentral:rRNA from 1 species